AGAGUUUGAUCAUGGCUCAGAACGAACGCUGGCGGCGUGCUUAACACAUGCAAGUCGAACGCGAACGUUUCCUUCGGGAAACUAGUAGAGUGGCGCACGGGUGAGUAACGCGUAAGUAAUCUACCCUCGCAUUUGGGAUAACCCACCGAAAGGUGUGCUAAUACCAGAUACGUCUAUUUUAAUAUCUUUUUGUAGAGAAAGGUGGCCUCUGAUUUAAGCUACUGUGCGGGGAGGAGCUUGCGUACCAUUAGCUAGUUGGUAGGGUAAUGGCCUACCAAGGCAACGAUGGUUAGCGGGUCUGAGAGGAUGAUCCGCCACACUGGAACUGGAACACGGACCAGACUCCUACGGGAGGCAGCAGUGAGGAAUAUUGCGCAAUGGGGGAAACCCUGACGCAGCGACGCCGCGUGGAUGAUGAAGGCCUUCGGGUUGUAAAAUCCUGUCAGAUGGGAAGAAGUGCACUAUGUCUAAUACAUAUAGUGUUUGACGGUACCAUUAAAGGAAGCACCGGCUAACUCCGUGCCAGCAGCCGCGGUAAAUACGGAGGGUGCAAGCGUUGUUCGGAAUUACUGGGCGUAAAGCGCGCGUAGGCGGC
rnacentral:rRNA from 1 species